rnacentral:rRNA from 1 species
GCAUAUCAAUAAGCGGAGGAAAAGAAACCAACAGGGAUUGCCCUAGUAACGGCGAGUGAAGCGGCAACAGCUCAAAUUUGAAAUCUGGCUUCGGCCCGAGUUGUAAUUUGCAGAGGAAGCUUUAGGCGCGGCACCUUCUGAGUCCCCUGGAACGGGGCGCCAUAGAGGGUGAGAGCCCCGUAUAGUUGGAUGCCUAGCCUGUGUAAAGCUCCUUCGACGAGUCGAGUAGUUUGGGAAUGCUGCUCAAAAUGGGAGGUAAAUUUCUUCUAAAGCUAAAUACCGGCCAGAGACCGAUAGCGCACAAGUAGAGUGAUCGAAAGAUGAAAAGCACUUUGAAAAGAGGGUUAAAUAGCACGUGAAAUUGUUGAAAGGGAAGCGCUUGUGACCAGACUUGCGCCGGGCUGAUCAUCCGGUGUUCUCACCGGUGCACUCGGCCCGGCUCAGGCCAGCAUCGGUUCUCGCGGGGGGAUAAAGGUCCUGGGAACGUAGCUCCUCCGGGAGUGUUAUAGCCCAGGGCGUAAUGCCCUCGCGGGGACCGAGGUUCGCGCAUCUGCAAGGAUG